UUUUAUUACCGUAUCGUUUCCGCUAAAUCGUUUUACCGCCACCAGAGUAUACACAUAAGCGUAUUAUAUCAUAACCGGCGACGGAGUCCCCCGAGACAAUCCAAUUAAUACGUUAUAAAUAAUAAUAGUUUUUAGUUUUUUUGUUUUUUUAAUCUGCGUAACACCGUAUAGGAAACCCGCAGGGUUUAAUAUAAUACAAAUCAAAUU